UACGGAGGGGGCAAGCGUUGUCCGGAAUUACUGGGCGUAAGGCGUGCGCAGGCGGUUUUGUAAGUCAGAUGUGAAAUCCCCGGGCUUAACCUGGGAACUGCGUUUGAAACUACAAGGCUAGAGUGUGGCAGAGGGGGGUGGAAUUCCACGUGUAGCAGUGAAAUGCGUAGAGAUGUGGAGGAACACCGAUGGCGAAGGCAGCCCCCUGGGUUAACACUGACGCUCAGGCACGAAAGCGUGGGGAGCAAACAGG
rnacentral:rRNA from 1 species